CAGCCGCCGCGGUAACACGUAGGGCGCAAGCGUUGUCCGGAAUUAUUGGGCGUAAAGAGCUCGUAGGCGGUCUGUCGCGUCUGGUGUGAAAUCCCGAGGCUCAACCUCGGGCUUGCAUCGGGUACGGGCAGACUAGAGUGCGGUAGGGGAGACUGGAAUUCCUGGUGUAGCGGUGGAAUGCGCAGAUAUCAGGAGGAACACCGAUGGCGAAGGCAGGUCUCUGGGCCGCAACUGACGCUGAGGAGCGAAAGCAUGGGGAGCGAACAGGAUUAGAUACCCCAGUAGUCCCUGUCUCUUAUCC
rnacentral:rRNA from 1 species